CACUGCUUCAGCCACGAUGGACGGAGGAGCUCUGAACCCAGGAGAUGCUGGCUCUACUGGUGAACCAGUGCCGUGGCAGACAGAACUACCAACAACCACUGCCUCGCCUCUGAGGCUGAAGGCUGAGUGUCUUGUAAGAUGCAUAGCUUGGGACCGAAAGUCAUGCUGCAGGCCUACUGAGGGAGCAUGUGCACGGGGCAGCAGACAACUUCCAUUGACCUGGGACUGAUCCGUGUGAACCUGCCAGGUUGGAGGAUAAGUUCCUGUCUCAGUCCAUCUGCUGGGACCUGACUGGUUGUAAGUAACCCCCCCCAACAAUUGGGGGGCAGCAUUUGUCUUUGAAUGUAUUGAUAACAUGUUUGUCAUUAUUUUUCUGCCUUAUUAAAUGACUAUUUGAAA